GGAGCCCGAGCCUCGCGGCCAUGUCAGCAGAUGCUCACUUGUUGACAGCAGAGGAGAGGAACCAAGUUAUACUCGACCUUAAAGCAGCAGGAUGGUCGGAAUUAAGAGAGAGAGAUGCCAUCUACAAAGAGUUCUCCUUCAGAAAUUUUAAUCAGGCCUUUGGCUUUAUGUCCCGAGUUGCUCUGCAAGCAGAGAAGAUGAAUCAUCACCCGGAAUGGUUCAAUGCCUACAACAAGGUCCAGAUAACUCUCACCUCCCAUGACUGUGGUCAGCUGACCAAAAGAGACGUGAAACUGGCCAAGUUUAUUGAAAAAGUAGCUGCUGCUUCGUGACUUCUUUCAAAAUAAUGAAUCCCCAGACUUGCUUCAAGUAACUGACAUAUCAACUUAAAAGAGACAUUGGCAAGGUCGGAGGUCCCCAAGUUCCCUUCUGUUCCAAAUCUUUGUGUGAUGGCACUGGUGUCUCUGAUGUGUUACUUGGGACUAGGAAAGGAAUGACUCUUGGCCAGAAGACUUGAGUCACCAAGCUGCCAUGCCCGCUGACUGCUGCCUUGCCCUGC